rnacentral:lncRNA from 1 species
UUAAUAAAUGGAUAAACAUAGCACAUUAAAAGAACCAAGGUGGGGCUGGAGAGAUGGCUCAGCGGUUAAGAGCGCUGACUGCUCUUCCAGAGGUCCUGAGUUCAAUUCUCAGAAGCCACAUGGUGGCUGACAACUAUCUUAAAUGGGAUCUGAUGCCCUCUUGUGUGUCUGAAGUGCUUACCUCCUCUGUGGCAGCAUGUACCUGUAACCCCAGUGCUGGGUAGACGGACAACAGGAUCCCUGGAGGUCACUGGCUAGCCAUUCCAGCUGAGACAGCAAGCUCUGGAUUUGGUGAGAAGCUCUGUCUAGCUCACACAGAUUAAGGAAUACAGAUUGUCUUUCUUUUUAGAAGCAAAAAUAACAAGCAGGUAAGGAUGCUCCAGGAAGCCGAAUAGAUGAGAUUUAGCAUGGUUUCCUCACUGCACCCUCUUCUUCUUCUGUUAUCCCAGCUUGCUCUGCCUUCAUGAAUCUGGCAGACAGGCCCAAACCCUAAACCCACAGUGGGUUCAGCUUUGCAGCUCACUCCAUUUCUACUUUGCCACCAGCAUCCCUUCCAGCUCUGGAAGUUCCUACCAGAAUCCUGGCAGUUCCUGUCUGAGGACUAAUGCAAAGGAAGCAAGGUGGGGUUGAGCAGAUAUCAUGGAAGUUCAAGUCCUGGAACAGCCCAAAUGUGUGUGAGCCUCUGAGUCUCCUAACACCAUUCUGUGCACAUACCCUACCACCUUCCUGGAAACUCACUCCUGGCAGAAAUGGCUCCUCAGGGAAAUCACAGCAAAAGUAAUUAAAUGAGCAGCCUGGCUUCAAGCACAGCACCAGAGAGCCUGUCUCUGACAGUCUCCUGAGAAGACAAAGCUGAAUGAUUUCCCAUUCUUUCUUUUUAAGACAUCUGAUACAGGUUACAUCGUGUUCCUUGGCAACUGGCAUCCAUGGAGUUGUCAUGGUUACAGGUGAACCAGAGACUGAGUUGUUACUGGCUAGACUCUGAACUCAUGGAGCUGAACAUGUUAAAGACACACCCAUUGUCUUCUUGCCAUGGCUGGAAAGAAGCUGAAGGUAAACAGCACUUCCCAGCUGGGUGCAGCCUGUGGACAGACACACAGCAGAUGUGGAAAGUGGAGCUUCAGGCCUCUCAGAAGCCAAGGCAACGGGCCCAUCCUUCAUUUGUUCAUGCUUGGGUUGCAGAGGACACAAACCCUGUGCCACUAACUCUGAGUGAAGAAACUGCUCAGACCCAAGAAACAAAAAGCAAUGACCUCCCCCCCCCCAAACACACACACACCAUUGCCUGCCAAGCUGCUGCUCUCUCACAGAAGCCCAGUGUGAGCCUGCAUGCAGUUUUACAGCUCCUGGGAGUCACACUUCAAAAGGUUAAAAGAAACUACUAAAAUUCCAUGUCUGUCUGUCUGUAUGUAUGUGCAUGUUUUUAGUCUAGUCUUGUCUUGCACUCUCAGUCCUCCAGUCUCAGCCUCCUGAAUGCCAGGAUUACAAAUCUAUGCAAACACUCCCAUCUCCAAAUGUAAUUUUAGCAAUGCAUAUUUAACUCAGUAUAUAUAAAAUACUAUAUCAGCAUGUUGUUGUGGGGUUUUUACCAGAGAAAACUGUGUUUAAGAUACAGGUUUAAACCAAUAGAAAGUAUUAGUCAAUUAGUCACUGGCAACUGUACUGGGUGUUGGGGAUCCCAGUGUAGCCCUGAGCCUUUCUCAGUGUGAGCUUUUAAUCAUUAAAAAAAACCAUAUCCUAGGUUGACAUUCUUCAGUUAGCAAGAACAAGUUAUCCAGAAGCAGGAACUACAAAGACCAAAAGCAGUCUUUAGUACAUUUAGAGACUUUCCCAGAACUGUAGACUUUGAUGGAUGAGGCCUCUGGUUUAGUUUUGGGCAGGUAGUACUGUUUGUGUGCUGAGUUUUAUGGCCUGAGUGGUAGGUACUUCUAUCAUGGUGUCAGUCCUGCUAAGGUCUGGGACCUGUUACAAUGUAAUACAAAAGCAAGAUUUUACAUUGUUACAAUGUAACAGAAACAAGAUUUUUUUUACAUUGUUUUUAUGCUACACCUUUGCAUUGUAUUGUUUACACAUCUCAAGUUUGGUUGGUUUUAAGAUACUCUUACUCUGUAGCCCCAAUCUGGUCUGGAAAUUAGUAUACUGUCCAGGCUGGAGUCCCACUCAUGGCAAUACUCCUGCCUCAGCUUCUCAAGCACUAAGAUUACAAGCAUGAGUCACUUAGUCUGACUUAUUUCUCAAUCAUAUAAUUUGUAAUGUGUUGUCAAUGCUGUGAACGCAUAAAACUUGUGGUUUAAAACACUGAGUUUUGUACUCAAAUGAAUCCAAAUAUUAAACG